GCCGGCUUAACUCAGUGGUAGAGUGCGUCACUCGUAAUGACGAAGUCGCUUGUUCGAUCCAGGCAGUCGGCA